CCAGAGAACUUAGCAGAGAUGCUUUUGGUGCCCUUCGGGAACUCUGAGACAGGUGCUGCAUGGCUGUCGUCAGCUCGUGUUGUGAAAUGUUGGGUUAAGUCCCGCAACGAGCGCAACCCUUAUCCUUUGUUGCCAGCGGCUCGGCCGGGAACUCAAAGGAGACUGCCGGUGAUAAACCGGAGGAAGGUGGGGAUGACGUCAAGUCAUCAUGGCCCUUACGGCCAGGGCUACACACGUGCUACAAUGGCGCAUACAAAGAGAAGCGACCUCGCGAGAGCAAGCGGACCUCAUAAAGUGCGUCGUAGUCCGGAUUGGAGUCUGCAACUCGACUCCAUGAAGUCGGAAUCGCUAGUAAUCGUAGAUCAGAAUGCUACGGUGAAUACGUUCCCGGGCCUUGUACACACCGCCCGUCACACCAUGGGAGUGGGUUGCAAAAGAAGUAGGUAGCUUAACCUUCGGGAGGGCGCUUACCACUUUGUGAUUCAUGACUGGGGUGAAGUCGUAACAAGGUAAGCGUAGCGAG
rnacentral:rRNA from 1 species